rnacentral:rRNA from 1 species
CCUACGGGUGGCAGCAGUGGGGAAUAUUGCGCAAUGGACGCAAGUCUGACACAGCAACGCCGCGUGAAGGCAGAAGGCUUUCGGGUCGUAAACUUCUUUUAAGGGGGAAGAGCAGAAGACGGUACCCCUUGAAUAAGCAACGGCUAAAUAAGUGCCAGCAGCCAGGGUAAGACGUAGGUGGCAAGCGUUGUCCGAAUUUACUGGGAGUAAAGGGCCUGCAGCGGGAGGGACAAGGCAGAGGUGAAAGCCACGGGCUCAACCCGUGAACUGCAUUUGAAACUGUUUACUUUGAGUGUCGGAGAGGUAAUCGGAAUUCCUAGUGUAGCGGUGAAAUGCGUAGAUAUUAGGAAGAACACCAGUGGCGAAGGCGGAUUACUGGCCGAUAACUGACGGUGAGGCGCGAAAGCGUGGGGAGCAAACAGGAUUAGAUACCCUUGUAGUC